rnacentral:rRNA from 1 species
GUGGGGAAUCUUGCGCAAUGGGCGAAAGUCUGACGCAGCCAUACCGCGUGAAUGAUGAAGGUCUUAGGAUUGUAAAAUUCUUUCACCGGGGACGAUAAUGACGGUACCCGGAGAAGAAGCUCCGGCUAACUUCGUGCCAGCAGCCGCGGUAAUACGAAGGGGGCUAGCGUUGCUCGGAAUUACUGGGCGUAAAGGGCGCGUAGGCGGACAGCUUAGUCAGAGGUGAAAGCCCAGGGCUCAACUUUGGAAUUGCCUUUGAUACUGGAUGUCUUGAGUUUGGGAGAGGUGAGUGGAACUCCGAGUGUAGAGGUGAAAUUCGUAGAUAUUCGGAAGAACACCAGUGGCGAAGGCGACUCACUGGCCCAAUACUGACGCUGAGGCGCGAAAGCGUGGGGAGCAAACAGGAUUAGAAACCCGAGUAGUCC